rnacentral:rRNA from 1 species
CCUUCCGUAGGUGAACCUGCGGAAGGAUCAUUACUGAUUUGCUUAAUUGCACCACAUGUGUUUUUUAUUGAACAAAUUUCUUUGGUGGCGGGAGCAAUCCUACCGCCAGAGGUUAUAACUAAACCAAACUUUUUAUUUACAGUCAAACUUGAUUUAUUAUUACAAUAGUCAAAACUUUCAACAACGGAUCUCUUGGUUCUCGCAUCGAUGAAGAACGCAGCGAAAUGCGAUACGUAAUAUGAAUUGCAGAUAUUCGUGAAUCAUCGAAUCUUUGAACGCACAUUGCGCCCUUUGGUAUUCCAAAGGGCAUGCCUGUUUGAGCGUCAUUUCUCCCUCAAACCCCCGGGUUUGGUGUUGAGCAAUACGCUAGGUUUGUUUGAAAGAAUUUAACGUGGAAACUUAUUUUAAGCGACUUAGGUUUAUCCAAAAACGCUUAUUUUGCUAGUGGCCACCACAAUUUAUUUCAUAACUUUGACCUCAAAUCAGGUAGGACUACCCGCUGAACUUAAGCAUAUCAAUAAGCGGAGGAAAAGAAACCAACAGGGAUUGCCUUAGUAGCGGCGAGUGAAGCGGCAAAAGCUCAAAUUUGAAAUCUGGCUCUUUCAGAGUCCGAGUUGUAAUUUGAAGAAGGUAUCUUUGGGUCUGGCUCUUGUCUAUGUUUCUUGGAACAGAACGUCACAGAGGGUGAGAAUCCCGUGCGAUGAGAUGAUCCAGGCCUAUGUAAAGUUCCUUCGAAGAGUCGAGUUGUUUGGGAAUGCAGCUCUAAGUGGGUGGUAAAUUCCAUCUAAAGCUAAAUAUUGGCGAGAGACCGAUAGCGAACAAGUACAGUGAUGGAAAGAUGAAAAGAACUUUGAAAAGAGAGUGAAAAAGUACGUGAAAUUGUUGAAAGGGAAGGGCUUGAGAUCAGACUUGGUAUUUUGUAUGUUACUUCUUCGGGGGUGGCCUCUACAGUUUAUCGGGCCAGCAUCAGUUUGGGCGGUAGGAGAAUUGCGUUGGAAUGUGGCACGGCUUCGGUUGUGUGUUAUAGCCUUCGUCGAUACUGCCAGCCUAGACUGAGGACUGCGGUUUAUACCUAGGAUGUUGGCAUAAUGAUCUUAAGUCGCCCGUCUUGAAAACACGG